GUCGAUGUUAUAUUGGAUAGCAUUGCUGGAUCUUACUUCCAGCGCAACCUUGACAGUUUAAAUAUGGAUGGAAGACUCUAUAUGAUCGGUAUCCUUGGAGGAACAAAAACAACUGUCGAUCUUUCAGGUUUUCUUGCAAGGCGUCUUACGGUUCAAGCUGCAAGGCUGCGAAACAGAAGCUCCGCAAAUAAAGCAGCCAUAGUCGCGGAG
rnacentral:misc_RNA from 1 species